AACGAACGCUGGCGGCAGGCCUAACACAUGCAAGUCGAGCGGACCCUUCGGGGUUAGCGGCGGACGGGUGAGUAACGCGUGGGAAUAUGCCCUUCUCUACGGAAUAGUCCUGGGAAACUGGGGGUAAUACCGUAUACGCCCUUUGGGGGAAAGAUUGAUCGGGGAAGGAUUAGCCCGCGUUGGAUUAGGUAGUUGGUGGGGUAAUGGCCUACCAAGCCGACGAUCCAUAGCUGGUUUGAGAGGAUGAUCAGCCACACUGGGACUGAGACACGGCCCAGAAUCCUAGGGGAGGCAGCAGUGGGGAAUCUUAGACAAUGGGGGCAACCCUGAUCGAGCCAUGCCGCGUGAGUGAUGAAGGCCGUAGGGUUGUAAAGCUCUUUCAGCUGGGAAGAUAAUGACGGUACCAGCAGAAGAAGCCCCGGCUAACUCCGUG
rnacentral:rRNA from 1 species